CCUACGGGAGGCAGCAGUGGGGAAUAUUGCACAAUGGGCGGAAGCCUGAUGCAGCGACGCCGCGUGAGGGAUGAAGGCCUUCGGGUUGUAAACCUCUUUCAGCAGGGACGAAGCGUGAGUGACGGUACCUGCAGAAGAAGCACCGGCUAACUACGUGCCAGCAGCCGCGGUAAUACGUAGGGUGCGAGCGUUGUCCGGAAUUACUGGGCGUAAAGAGUUCGUAGGCGGUUUGUCGCGUCGUUUGUGAAAACCCGGGGCUCAACUUCGGGCUUGCAGGCGAUACGGGCAGACUUGAGUGUUUCAGGGGAGACUGGAAUUCCUGGUGUAGCGGUGAAAUGCGCAGAUAUCAGGAGGAACACCGGUGGCGAAGGCGGGUCUCUGGGAAACAACUGACGCUGAGGAACGAAAGCGUGGGUAGCAAACAGGAUNAGAUACCCUGGUAGUCCACGCCGUAAACGGUGGGCGCUAGGUGUGGGUUCCUUCCACGGGAUCUGUGCCGUAGCUAACGCAUUAAGCGCCCCGC
rnacentral:rRNA from 1 species